AGUGAACGCUGGCGGUAGGCCUAACACAUGCAAGCCGAACGGCAGCACAGGAGAGCUUGCUCUCUGGGUGGCGAGUGGCGGACGGGUGAGGAAUACAUCGGAAUCUACUCUGUCGUGGGGGAUAACGUAGGGAAACUUACGCUAAUACCGCAUACGACCUACGGGUGAAAGCAGGGGACCUUCGGGCCUUGCGCGAUUGAAUGAGCCGAUGUCGGAUUAGCUAGUUGGCGGGGUAAAGGCCCACCAAGGCGACGAUCCGUAGCUGGUCUGAGAGGAUGAUAAGCCACACUGGAACUGAGACACGGUCCAGACUCCUACGGGAGGCAGCAGUGGGGAAUAUUGGACAAUGGGCGCAAGCCUGAUCCAGCCAUACCGCGUGGGUGAAGAAGGCCUUCGGGUUGUAAAGCCCUUUUGUUGGGAAAGAAAUCCAGCUGGCUAAUACCCGGUUGGGAUGACGGUACCCAAAGAAUAAGCACCGGCUAACCUCGUGCCAGCCGCCGCCGUAA
rnacentral:rRNA from 1 species